AACCUCUGCAAUGCACGAAAGUGUGACAGGGGGACUCCAAGUGCAUACAUUUGUAUGCUUUUCUCAAGUGUAAAAAGCUCGGGGAAUAAGGACUGGGUAAGACCCGUGCCAGCCGCCGCGGUAAUACGGGCAGUUCUAGUGGUGUUCGUGAAUAUUGGGCCUAAAGCGUUCGUAGCCUGUUCAACAAGUCUUUGGUGAAAGCCGGCGACUUAAUCGUCGGAGUUGCCAAAGAAACUGUCGAACUUGGAGCCGGGAUGGGUUGGAGGUAUUCCUGGGGUAGGGGUAAAAUCCAGUGAUCCCAGGAGGACCAUCGGUGGCGAAGGCGUCCAACUGGAACGGGUCCGACGGUGAGGCACGAAAGCUAGGGGAGCGACCCGGAUUAGAUACCCGGUUAGUCCUAGCCGUAAAUGAUGUCUGUUUGGUGUGGCACAACUUACGAGGUUGUGCCGUGCCGUAGGGAAGCCGUUAAACAGACCGCCUGGGAGUACGCCGCAAGGC
rnacentral:rRNA from 1 species